rnacentral:rRNA from 1 species
UGAGCACGAAGAUGCUACGGCAUCGAAGCAGUCUAUGUCAUACUUCCAAGAAAAGCUUGCAAUGUCAUAAACAAAUAAUGCCUGUACCAUAACCGACACAGGUGGGUAGGUAGAGUAUACUAAGGGGCGCGAGAUAACUCUCUCUAAGGAACUCGGCAAAAUGACUCCGUAACUUCGGGAGAAGGAGUGCCUUAUUUUUAUAAGGUUGCAAUAACAAGAUCCAAGCAACUGUUUACCAAAAACACAGGUCUCCGCUAAGUCGUAGGACGAUGUAUGGGGGCUGACGCCUGCCCAGUGCCAGAAGGUUAAAGAAGUUGGUUAGGAUUACCGAAGCUGAUAACUGAAGCCCUGGUGAACGGCGGCCGUAACUAUAACGGUCCUAAGGUAGCGAAAUUCCUUGUCGGGUAAGUUCCGACCCGCACGAAAGGCGUAAUGAUUUGGAUACUGUCUCGGAGAGGGGCUCGGUGAAAUAGACUUGUCUGUGAAGAUGCGGACUACCUGCACCUGGACAGAAAGACCCUAUGAAGCUUUACUGUAACUUGAGAUUGAAAUUGGACUUUAUUUGCGCAGUAUAGGUGGGAGACGUUGAAAAUAUUCUUGCGGGAAUAUUGGAGUCAUCAGUGAGAUACCACUCUUAUAAUGUUAGAUUUCUAACUUUGUAUCAUUAUCUGUUCAAAGAACAGUUUCAGGCGGGCAGUUUGACUGGGGCGGUCGCCUCCCAAAGGGUAACGGAGGCGCACAAAGGUUUCCUCUGAACGUGUAGAAAUCGUAUCUAGAGUGUAAAGGCAUAAGGAAGCUUGACUGUGAGACCUACAAGUCGAGCAGGGACGAAAGUCGGUCUUAGUGAUCUGACGGUGCUGAGUGGAAAGGCCGUCACUCAACGGAUAAAAGUUACUCUAGGAUAACAGGCUGAUCUCCCCCAAGAGUUCACAUCGACGGGGAGGUUUGGCACCUUGAUGUCGGCUCAUCGCAUCCUGGGGCGGUAGUACGUCCCAAGGGUUGGGCUGUUCGCCCAUGAAAGCGGUACGCGAGCUGGGUUCAGAACGUCGUGAGACAGUUCGGUCCAUAUCCGGUGUAGGCGUUAGAAUAUUGAGAGGAGCCUUCUUUAGUACGAGAGGACCGAGAAGGACAUACCUCUGGUGUACCAGUUAUCGUGCCAACGGUAAACGCUGGGUAGCUAUGUAUGGAGAGGAUAACCGCUGAAAGCAUCUAAGUGGGAAGCCCACCUCAAGAUAAGUA